rnacentral:rRNA from 1 species
UGGGGAAUUUUGGACAAUGGGGGCAACCCUGAUCCAGCCAUGCCGCGUGCGGGAAGAAGGCCUUCGGGUUGUAAACCGCUUUUGUCUGGGAAGAAAAGGCACCCCAGAACACGGGAUGUACUUGACGGUACUGGAAGAAUAAGCACCGGCUAACUACGUGCCAGCAGCCGCGGUAAUACGUAGGGUGCGAGCGUUAAUCGGAAUUACUGGGCGUAAAGCGUGCGCAGGCGGUUCGUUGUGUCUGCUGUGAAAGCCCCGGGCUCAACCUGGGAAUGGCAGUGGAAACUGGCGAGCUGGAGUGUGGCAGAGGGGGGUGGAAUUCCACGUGUAGCAGUGAAAUGCGUAGAGAUGUGGAGGAACACCGAUGGCGAAGGCAGCCCCCUGGGCUGACACUGACGCUCAGGCACGAAAGCGUGGGGAGCAAACAGGAUUAGAUACCCCUGUAGUCC